GUACUCAGCCCCUUGUUCCUGUGUCCUUGCGCGGGGAAGCAGGAGGGCAGGACCCUGCUGCCAUCUAAGGGCCCUGCAGCGUCUUGGCGGAAGUGACCAAGUUAAGACAAGGCCUCAACUCCCACCUGCUCUCCUUAUAAGAGGGGAGGGGAGGGCCGAGGGAUUUAGCUCAGUGGUUCCACCGCCUGCCUCGAAUGCACAAGAUGCAGCCACCUCUGCAAAAGCCCCACCUGUGACCACAAGAGGCUCUGAGGGGCCGUCCAGACCCAGCCCUGACAGGGAGUUUCCGCCCUUUGGUCAGAGGAAUGCCAGAUAAACAGCCUGUCAGUUAAGCUUAUCAACAUAGUUACAAUGUCACAGAAAAGAGAUGCCCGAUUCCCAGGCCAGUGGAGUUUCAUCUUAUUCUGAAUAAAGGCC
rnacentral:lncRNA from 1 species